AUACGGAGGAUCCGGAGCGUUAUCCGGAUUUAUUGGGUUUAAAGGGUGCGUAGGCGGGCCCUUAAGUCAGUGGUGAGAGUUUGCAGCUUAACUGUAAAAUUGCCAUUGAAACUGAGGGUCUUGAGUGUAAAUAAGGUAGGCGGAAUGUGUUGUGUAGCGGUGAAAUGCUUAGAUAUAACACAGAACACCAAUUGCGAAGGCAGCUUACUGGGAUACAACUGACGCUGAGGCACGAAAGCGUGGGGAUC
rnacentral:rRNA from 1 species